rnacentral:rRNA from 1 species
ACUCCUACGGGAGGCAGCAGUGGGGAAUAUUGCACAAUGGGGGAAACCCUGAUGCAGCCAUGCCGCGUGUGUGAAGAAGGCCUUCGGGUUGUAAAGCACUUUCAGCGAGGAGGAAAGGUAGUGUAGUUAAUAGCUGCAUACCUUGACGUUACCUACAGAAGAAGGCACGGCUAACUCCGUGCCAGCAGCCGCGGUAAUAC